UUGAUUUUAUGGAAUGAUUUAC
rnacentral:miRNA from 1 species